CAGAUUCUACAGAAUCCAACAUUGCUCCUGGGGACCCAUGGCUUAAGGUAACGUGGCACGAAGCGAGAAAAAAUUGUGAUUCUAUUGGAAAGAGACUCGUCGUAUUAAAAACUAAGGAAAAGAUACAAAGAUUUAAAGAAGCUGCUGUAAAUAUCUUUAGGAGCAAAGGAGAAUCUCCAAGUUCGACCUGGAUAGGACUAGCAGACUGGGAGUUGGAAAGACGCUUUACAUGGGUGACUGGUCAACCUCUGAGG